rnacentral:rRNA from 1 species
GACGAACGCUGGCGGCGUGCUUAACGCAUGCAAGUCGAGCGGUAAGGCCCCUUCGGGGGUACGACGAGCGGCGAACGGGUGAGUAACACGUGGGUGACCUGCCCUCAGCUCUGGGAUAAGCCUGGGAAACCGGGUCUAAUACCGGAUAUGACUCCAUGACGCAUGUUGUGGGGUGGAAAGCCUUGUGCGGCUGAGGAUGGGCCCGCGGCCUAUCAGCUUGUUGGUGGGGUGAUGGCCUACCAAGGCGACGACGGGUAGCCGGCCUGAGAGGGCGACCGGCCACACUGGGACUGAGACACGGCCCAGACUCCUACGGGAGGCAGCAGUGGGGAAUCUUGCGCAAUGGGCGAAAAGCCUGACGCAGCGACGCCGCGUGAGGGAUGACGGCCUCGGUUGUAACGU